UGGUCUGUUGUCUCAUUGUGCAUUAUAUCCUCCAGGUGAGCAUGUCAGUGAUCUGGGUGAAAUCAGAACCUGAACCGGUCCCUUGGUGGGUGGUGACCUUGGCCCUGAUCUCUGGACUACUGCUACUGGCUCUGCUUAUCUUCGUCAUGUACAAGCUGGGUUUCUUCGAGCGUGUACGCCCCCCGCAGGAAGACAGCGCGGAGAAGGAGCAGCUGGCACCGCAGGAGAACGGUGACAGGAACACCGAUGCUUGAUGGGGCUCCCGACACACGACCCUGUGUAGCUGUCUGAAUAGGUUUCCCCAUGUAGUGCACUACUUUGGAACAGAGCGCUAUGGGAUAGCACCAGUACACACAGUCCCAUCUACUCUUUAUAAUCAUACUCACACUGUACCCUGCAUCCUGAAGCCCCGUCGUCUACUACUCCUCUUGCAUAUACUUAGACAACACUGCUGUAUGAAAUGGCUGGGAGGAGCAAACAAGUGAUUCGAUAUUAAAAAUGCUGAUGUAAAUCAUAUUUGAAAAGGACUCCCGAUCUUCUUCUGGUUAUUGGUCCUGCAUCUUUUAGUGCACUUGGGACUUUCAGUGUAAAAAUGAAUUGCUACAACAAUGUGAAUUUCGAGACUGCAAGGAAUCAAUUACAAUGCUGUACGGUCUUUGAAGACAAUAGUUAAUGAAAUGGUUUUUGAAUGGGCACUGCAGGGUGUGGAUAUGGACUUAUUGUUGAGAGUAUUGUAUGUUAUGCUUCUGCAAUUGAUGACAACCCCGGGCAAUUUUCCACUCUCCAGAUACAGGAUUAUACAAUUGUAUGUGCACGUCACUGUGUAUUAAAAGGAUGAAUUGACCCAUAUUGGGUAAUCAACGUGGAACUUAAAAUUGUUUUUGUUUUUUGCAUUCGAGCACUAUAGUAUCUAAUUACCCAUCACCCACUGCUUCGUCUGUUUUACUAUUUAUCUUAAAGCACGUUUCAUGUUACAAUAAUGUCAUUUUACCAGACUUUUUUUUCAAUUGAUUUCUAGUUGUUCCUUGUUCAUACUUUUGGGUGUUUAAAAAAAAAAAGGAAUAUUACUGAAAAUGAUGACAUGUUCCUUCCCCACAUAUCUGGUUGAGCUGACAACGUUUUGAUCUUUCCUGAAUUAAAUGUUUUAAAACCAUAA